GACGAACGCUGGCGGCGUGCUUAACACAUGCAAGUCGAACGGAGUGGCGAACGGGUGAGUAACACGUGGGUGACCCCCCCUUCACUUCGGGAUACGCCUGGGAAACGGGGCCUAAUACUGGACAGUGGGGGAUGGGCUCGCGGCCUAUCAGCUUGUUGGUGGGGUAAUGGCCUACCAAGGCGGCGACGGGUAGCCGGCCUGGGAGGGUGGACGGCCACAUUGGGACUGAGACACGGCCCAGACUCCUACUGGAGGCAGCAGUGGGGAAUAUUGCACAAGGGGGGGAAGCCUGAUGCAGCGACGCCGCGUGGGGGAUGACGGCCUUCGGGUUGUAAACUCCUUUCACCAUCGACGCGGUAGAUGGAGAAGAAGCACCGGCUAACUACGUGCCAGCAGCCGCGGUAAUAC
rnacentral:rRNA from 1 species